rnacentral:rRNA from 1 species
CUACGGGGGGCUGCAGUGGGGAAUAUUGGACAAUAGGGGAAACCCUGAUCCAGCAAUGCCGCGUGUGUGAAGAAGGCCUGCGGGUUGUAAAGCACUUUCGGUUGGGAGGACUGCUUCUAGCACUAAUAUUGUUGGAAGUUGACGUUACCUUCAGAAGAAGCACCGGCUAGCUCCGUGCCAGCAACCGCGGUAAUACGGAGGGUGCAAGCGUUAAUCGGAAUUACUGGGCGUAAAGCGCGCGUAGGCGGCUAGAUCAGUCGGGUGUGAAAGCCCCGGGCUUAACCUGGGAACUGCAUCCGAUACUGUCUAGCUUGAGUACAGGAGAGGAGAGUGGAAUUCCACAUGUAGCGGUGAAAUGCGUAGAUAUGUGGAGGAACACCAAUGGCGAAGGCAGCUCUCUGGCCUGAUACUGACGCUGAGGUGCGAAAGCGUGGGGAGCAAACAGGAUUAGAUACCCGCGUAGUC